rnacentral:rRNA from 1 species
GAUGAACGCUGGCGGCGUGCCUAAUACAUGCAAGUCGAGCGAACGGACGAGAAGCUUUCUUCUCUGAUUUUAGCGGCGGACGGGUGAGUAACACGUGGAUAACCUACCUAUAAGACUGGGAUAACUUCGGGAAACCGGAGCUAAUACCGGAUAAUAUUUUGAACCUCAUGGUUCAAAAGUUAAAGACGGUCUUGCUGUCACUUAUAGAUGGAUACGCGCUGCAUUAGCUAGUUGGUAAGGUAACGGCUUACCAAGGCAACGAUGCAUAGCCGACCUGAGAGGGUGAUCGGACACCCUGGAACUGAGACACGGUCCAGACUCCUACGGGAGGCAGCAGUAGGGAAUCUUCCGCAAUGGGCGAAAGCCUGACGGAGCAACGCCGCGUGAGUGAUGAAGGUCUUCGGAUCGUAAAACUCUGUUAUUAGGGAAGAACAUAUGUGUAAGUAACUGUGCACAUCUUGACGGUACCUAAUCAGAAAGCCACGGCUAACUACGUG